rnacentral:rRNA from 1 species
UACGUAGGGUGCGAGCGUUAAUCGGAAUUACUGGGCGUAAAGCGUGCGCAGGCGGUUUUGUAAGCCAGAUGUGAAAGCCCCGGGCUUAACCUGGGAAUGGCAUUUGGGACUGCAAGGCUGGAGUUUGGCAGAGGAGACUGGAAUUCCUGGUGUAGCAGUGAAAUGCGUAGAUAUCAGGAGGACACCGGUGGCGAAGGCGGCGACCUGG